UGUGCGUACGUGUCACUGUUGGGUUAUUAUUGAUUCUUUAUUCAUUAGUGGAGUGUAUGUGUUGCUGCUGGAUGAAUAGCAGGCCAGCAGGGUGUUCAAGGCAUCGGUCGCCAUCAACAGCUAGAGGAGUCAAUUGAAUCCUCGCCAUUAAACUGUGCUCGUCAUCAAAGGGUCCAAGAGAGGAGUGAAGAGGUGGUCGCCGUGGCAGGCCGGGCACUUAUGGACACAGCAAUACACUCACCUUGCACUGCCCAGGUGUUGCAGAAAGAUGCACUACAAGACACUUACUCAGCUCCUCGGCCAGCAAGACUCUCCGGCCAGUCAACAGGUGCUCCUUCUUCUCCCUGUCACACCCAUACUCCUCCAGCACCUCCUUGAUCUCUUUCUCCAACCGCCGUGCUGCAGAAGAAAGAAAUUUUAAAGACUCGAGCUCAAUGCCAUCUCUUAAACCCUUUUUGUGAAAGGGAGGGAAUUCAAGAUCAUGUAGAGAGAGCUGUGUUCCAUACGCACCUUCCCUGUUCAUGACCUGCUGGCGGAGGGCGUUGGACGUUAUCUUGAUCAUCUGCUGAAUCCGCCAAAACAGCACCACAUCGUUGCACUCCACCUUGGAUGUGACA